rnacentral:tmRNA from 1 species
GGGGCUGAUCGGUUUCGACGUUGAGACCGGAGGCUGGAUCGUGCGACCAGAGUUGCCUCAGACUCUUUAAACAGGGGCAACAAAUCAACCGCCGAUGAGCAGUUGACUCUCGCAGCCUGAUAACUCAGACCCUGUAGAGAGAAAUCGUGACCAGCAAUGGCGCACGGGGCCAGCUCACUGCAGCCCGGCAACAGAAGCAGUGGGUGACAGCCUGAAAGAAGGCUGACGGCGUGAAAGAACGCUGACUUCGGGGAAAGCCCCGGCGGCGGGGUUUCGGCCCCACCCGACCCGGCGGUGAGGCAGCCGUUGAGCCUCAAGACUCGGGAAUGGUCGUAUCGCGGACAGUUUUCACUUGGCGGACGGGGGUUCGAUUCCCCCCAGCUCCACAA